UCCCCGUUCUCCUGGGCAGUCUCUCCAGAGUUCUCGGCUUUCACCCGCUUUACCGUACAUGUCAAGCCCAGGUAAGGUUCUUCGCGUUGCAUCGAAUUGAGACACACGCUCCGCCGCUUGUGCGGGCCCCCGUCAAUUCCUUUGAGUUUUAGCCUUGCGGCCGUACUCCCCAGGCGGGGCACUUAAUGCGUUAGCUACGGCACGGAACCCGUCGAUAGAGCCCCACACCUAGUGCCCAACGUUUACGGCGUGGACUAC
rnacentral:misc_RNA from 1 species